rnacentral:misc_RNA from 1 species
GGAAAGGGAGAGGGUUGCUAGCGGUGAGUGUCGCUGGGUCGUGACAGAAGGGGGAUGGGGCAAGGGCUCAACUGAUUCUAUUUUAGUGAGUCAUGGGCUAAGGCAUGCUGGAGAGAGAGAGAGAAAUGGUUAAAGAAAUUUGAGAGAGAAAUAAGAGGAGAGAAAAACAAGAGUCAUAAUGAAGGUGUCAUGUCAAUAAGUUAAGUUCAAAUCUGUGAUAUUUGAUCACAAGAAUUCCAGUGUUACUCAACUUGAAAUUUAGUGAAUUUUUUUAAUAUAAAUUGAAAUUGAGAGAUGAAAUUGAAACAACUCUCUAAAUUGAGGGACGAUGAGUGAAAAAUUAACAUUAAAGGUAUAUAGUUCUUUUUGU